CUUCUUGUGAUGAAAAUCUUUGUCCAGUUCUGCUACUGAAAUUAAAGUGACGAUACCGUGGAUCUGAGGAAG
ensembl:snoRNA small nucleolar RNA, C/D box 38B